rnacentral:pre_miRNA from 1 species
CAACUUCUGUAGGCUGGCUCAUCCCCAGCCUGGGCUGGAUAAGUCUGUCUUUUCAAAAGACUCACCCUCAAGCAAGACUAGGGGC